CGGAGAUAGAGGAGCGGAGGGACAUUACAAGUGACCCCGGUUUACCACCGGGAUGUUCAUAACCCUUUGUUGUCCGACUCUGUUGCCUCCGGGGCGACCCUGCCUUCGGGCGGGGGCUCCGGGUGGACACUUCAAACUCUUGCGUAACUUUGCAGUCUGAGUAAACUUAAUUAAUAAAUUAAAACUUUUAACAACGGAUCUCUUGGUUCUGGCAUCGAUGAAGAACGCAGCGAAAUGCGAUAAGUAAUGUGAAUUGCAGAAUUCAGUGAAUCAUCGAAUCUUUGAACGCACAUUGCGCCCCCUGGUAUUCCGGGGGGCAUGCCUGUUCGAGCGUCAUUUCACCACUCAAGCCUCGCUUGGUAUUGGGCAACGCGGUCCGCCGCGUGCCUCAAAUCGACCGGCUGGGUCUUCUGUCCCCUAAGCGUUGUGGAAACUAUUCGCUAAAGGGUGUUCGGGAGGCUACGCCGUAAAACAACCCCAUUUCUAAGGUUGACCUCGGAUCAGGUAGGGAUACCCGCUGAACUUAAGCAUAUCAAUAAGGCGGAGGAA
rnacentral:rRNA from 1 species